CGAGGGUGCAAGCGUUAUCCGGAUUCACUGGGUUUAAAGGGUGUGUAGGCGGGCAGUUAAGUCAGUGGUGAAAUCUCCGGGCUCAACCCGGAAACUGCCAUUGAUACUAAUUGUCUUGAAUAUCGUUGAGGCAGGCGGAAUAUGUCAUGUAGCGGUGAAAUGCAUAGAUAUGACAUAGAACACCAAUUGCGAAGGCAGCUUGCUAAACGAUCAUUGACGCUGAGGCACGAAAGCGUGGGGAUCAAACAGGAUUAGAUACCCUGGUAGUCCACGCCCUAAACGAUGAUUACUCGACAUACGCGAUACACAGUGUGUGUCUGAGCGAAAGCAUUAAGUAAUCCACCUGGGAAGUACGUCCGCAAGGAUG
rnacentral:rRNA from 1 species